rnacentral:lncRNA from 1 species
CAGGAGGUACAGAACCUGGAGCUGAAAUCUUGAUGGGCCCCAACAGACAUGCAUGCCUAGCUGAUGAUUCUCCUCACCUCUCUCUUAACCUGAGGACUCCUGGGCCAUUUGGACUACCACAAGUGCAUCAUUAAUCUUACGACUGAGGCAAGGAAUUAUUAAAAUCCCUAACAAAGAAAGAAGUUGUCAAAGAAUAUCUUGUAUCAUUGGACCUUGGACUGUUGGACUCCCAGGUUUCAACAUUAUUCAGAUGCUUGCAGCAAAGUUCACAACAGUGUUAUGGCGGGAGCAGGGAGGCACCUACAUCCAUUGGACCCAUCCUGACAGCUGGGAAGGAUGUGUCCAGCCACCCAGGGAUGUGCAUCUGGCACCCACCUCACAACAGCUGUUCUAACCACGUAAGAAGCACAAGGGUCACCGGUUACUCUCCAUGAGAACAAAAGGCCAAGGAUGCAGAGAUAAUUGCAUCAAAGGGAUUCAACUUCCUGGAUGACCUCAUUCCAAAGAUCUGCAGAGCCCAGAUAAGCAUCCCAGGGUUCUGGCAGAGGGCCCCUCCAGGGACAGGAAGGGGACAGGAAGCCGGCUUUCCGUGUCUGUACCGCCUUCCUUGGGAAGGAUAGGACACCUGUGGCCAUCAAGUCAUGAUGCCCCAUGCUGUCUCCCGCCAACUCCACAAGAAAGGCAAAUGAGUGUCACAUCGCCCCCAGAGUCAUGACUCUGCUGAUCCCACAUGGGCCCCAUAGAGGGCUUUUCCUUCUAGGUCUUCACCAUAGAUUUCUCAUAUUUUCAUUUAAACAGAUUUGUAUGUAAUUCUUGAAUGUUUCCUUUCUUUCAUAUUCUCAAAAAAUACAUUAAGACUAGUAAGAAUAGGUAAAAAAAAAUUGGUACAUCUCAGAAGAUAAUAUGUGAGACUAAUAGCUAUAGUUUGCAAUAAAGAAAAUUAAAUGAGGUUUCUAAGCACUUAUGUAUUUAUUCUCUAAAUGUUUUUGAGCCCUUUCUAUGCCAGACACAACUCCAAGUCCAGAGACGGAAAGAUAAAAUGUUCCUUAUGCUCGAAGAGCACAUAGAUUUGUUAGAAGUCAUAGAUACUUAAACAAAUGAUUAUAUAAUAAGUUCUACAAUGUAAUUUUAUCCUUGGGAAUUCUGCUAAUAUUACAAGGAAUAAUAAAUAGUCAAAAUAAGAGUCCUUUAUCAAAAUUUAUUUUUAUACUGCUCAGUUUUGCCCUAGAAUUUGUUAAUUUAUUCAAUAUUCUC